rnacentral:lncRNA from 1 species
ACAAAUUCUGGUGUUUUCCGGAAGUAAACGUGCUCUGCUGCAGCUAAAAAAUGCUGACUGUGCAUUAAUUUUUACUGAGGAGUGGAGACGUGUUGGCGAGAAGAAAAUAUUGGAUUUUUCUUUUGUUUCGAUGUAUUUUCCACCAUCAAGGGAAUAUGUGCAGACCACCUAAUGGAAUUAUACAUAUUGGGGUUUUAUAUUUCGUUAUAUCGUUAAUAUGCGUCAAAAUACAACCAUAUUUCGGUCUCGUAUUACAUGUAUCAAUUUUCAUGUGUGAUGUAAACAUGAUCGAGUCGAAAUGUGCUCGAAGUGGUUUGAUUCGAAACAUCAUGGGUUCUUGUACAGAUCCUGUUUCAACACGCGCUUGUAAAGUCACCUCAAAGAUUGGACAAAGCUGGACUGGAAAUUAAAGAGAAGUAAUUCGAAGCUUUAUCGUCUAUCGUAUGUUGUAUAAAGGAACAAGAACGACAUGUGACAUGUCUAAACGGCGGUGUGUGUCUGUUUACUGGGUUUAAUACAACAACUGCAAUAACAAUGAAUCACCUAACAUUUCAAGAAAAUAUAAAUUAUAGAUAGAUGUCAUGCAUGACCCCAUGAGUUUUGGAUUUGAAUUGCUAGAUUUAAAUCUAUAUUAUAUGUAUAUACAAAAUCAUGCGUGCGUAAAUUGGAGCAAAAAAACACAAGGUGUUUGUUUGGCCAUAUGCCCAUCAUGUAGUAUGAAUAUUGAACACCGUUUUAUAUAGCACGUUUAAAACGUUAUUUCCAUGCCGGAUAAUUCUGAAUCCUUCACAGAUUACAUGCGUGGCAAAUGAAGAAAAAUAAUUAUGUAAAAUAAUUAACCUAAUAUGUCUUUAGCCCUGAAUGCAACUCACUAUGCUGCUUUAUACAUCUGACAGUCAAAACUAUGUGCAUGACUGUAUGGCCCAAUGUAUGUUAAUUGUUUCAGGGAAAUUUUUGUUUUCAGAUUAAAGUAUAGCAA